UGAAGUCUAAUUUAGGGAAGGAGUAUUUAGAUAUUUUGGUGAUUUAACUGAAAUCACCAAAAUAUAAUUUUUCAUAUUUGAAAUGGAAGCUUUUAUUCUCAUAUGGUGAUGGGAUAAAUAACGACCACUUACCUUUUACGACAGAAAGAUGAAAUAAGUGUCGUGUUGGCGAAUGUUGUCGUUGCUCUGCAAUUUUCCCAUCUGAAGCUUUUCUCAUUCUUGGAAACGCAGAAACGACAAUGGCGCUAUCCAAAGGCUCUGAAACGGCAAAACCUAAACCGGUUAUACCAUGGAAGGCACGCAUUUCAAUAUCCUUUAUUUCUACGAUUACCGACGCUGCGCGUCGCUCUAACGGCACCAUCAAUCGCUGUCUAACGAACCUUCUCGAUCUCAAGGCACACGCCAGUUCCUCACCCGUUAACGGUGUUACCUCUAAAGAUGUCACCAUUGACGCCGAAAACAAACUCUGGUUCCGAGUCUUCGCCCCCGCAGUCUCCCCUGCCGCCGGCACCCUCCCUGUCGUCGUCUACUUCCAUGGGGGCGGCUUCGCGUUCCUCUCGCCGGACUCCCUCGGCUACGACGGCGUAUGUCGCCGAAUAUGUCGCCACGUCCCCGCUGUCGUUGUUUCUGUCAACUACCGCCUCACACCGGAGCACCGGUACCCGUCGCAGUACGACGACGGUGAGCUCUUCCUCCACUUCCUCGACGAGAAUUGCAUGGUACUGCCGGAAAACGCUGAUGUGUCAAAAUGUUUCCUUGCCGGCGACAGCGCGGGGGCUAACUUAGCUCACAACGUGGCAGUUCGGGUCGGGAAGAUGGGAAUCGGGGAAAACCGGGAUGGGAAUUCAGGGCUUCGGAGAAUCCGGGUGGUCGGGUUGGUGGCGAUCCAGCCUUUUUUCGGUGGGGAGGAGCGGACGGAGGCUGAGGUGAGGUUUGAAGGUGCGCCGCUGGUGUCAACGGAGAGGAGCGAUUGGAUGUGGAAGGCGUUUUUGCCUGAGGGGUCGGAUCGUGACCACAGAGCAUGCAACGUGAGUGGGCCGAAUUCGGAGGAUUUGUCGGGUUUGGAUUACCCGGAUAGCGUUGUGGUUGUUGGUGGGUUUGAUCCUUUACAAGAUUGGCAAAGGAGGACAAGCCUGCAUCGUCUACACCAACUACGUCAUCCUCAAGUUUCAGUGCUAGUAGUGGGGUAUAGUCUGCGGCAGCUAGAUUAUUGGGAGGAAGCAACGGAAGCCGAGCACUUAGUUUUUUUGGAGGCAACGGUAGUAGCAAGAAUAAUGGAGGGAACAGUAGGAUUGGUUCCAUUGGAGCCUCCAGUACAAGUAGUUCAAUGGCUAAUCCAAAUUUUGAUGGGAAAGGCACUUACCUGAUAUUCAAUGUCGGUGAGGCAAUUUUCAUCAGCAAUUUGAAUUCUCAAAACAAGGCAUGCCUCAAUGCAACCAGAUCCUCAUUGAAAGAAAAAUGGGUUAAGAGGGAGGCUGUUGUUGUGAUCCUGAGGGAGGCACUCAUGAAAGGCAAAUGGCUAUAGUAAUUUAUAAGUAUUUUUCUAAGUGAAGAUCUCAACAAUAUCGUGGAAAUCAAAUCAUUGAAGUUAGAAAAGAUGAGGUUAUCAGACUUAGCUUGUUUCCUUUCUCUUUGGAUGGUAAUGCCAAGAUGUGGCUAAAUUCAUUUCCUGAAAAUAACUUCAUUGUGUGGGAAGAUGUGGUGGCCAAGUUUCUUAAUAAGUACUUUCCUCACUCCAAGAUAAAAAAAAGGAAGUAGAAAAUCUCUUCUUUCUAACAGGGUAUGGAUGAAACUUUAGGCCAAGCAUGAGAUAGAUUCAAAGGCCUACUGCGAAAAACUCACUCAUGGAUUUGAUGAACCUACGGUGAUCAUUAGUUUCUUGGAGGACCCAAAUCUCAUACUAAAUUGAUGUUGGAUGCCUCAGUUAGAGAACAUGACUGCUAAUGACAAUGAGAUGCAAAAUGAAAGAGCUCAGUUCCAAUAAAAAGGAGUUCUUCAACUACAAUCUCAAGAUGCUGUAUUAGUUAAAAAUAAGAUAAUGACUCAACAACUUGAGGCCUUAAUGAAGAAACUCUCUCAAUUGCCUAAAGAGCUCCAAAAUGUGUCACAUGCCCAACAUAAAGAGUGUGAGUUGUGUGGUGGAGAACAUAUAAAUCGUUAGUGUGCCAUGCAAGCCAACUCCUAAGAAGAAGUGAACUAUAUGGGUAAUCAGGGCCGCCAAGGUAACUACAACCAAGGGUGGAGACCUCAUCCAAGCAUGGGCCAAGGGCAAGCUGGGCCAUCAAACAGACCACCACAACAACAAUAUCAACCACAUCCCUCUUUAUCUAACAAGACCUCGAAGUUGGAGGAAACACUCCAACAGUUCAUGCAAGUGUCCAUCUCCAAUCACAAAAGCAUUGAAGCUUCCUCUAGGAAUUUGGAGACACAGGUUGGGCAAUUGGGUAAGAAGUUAGAGGAGAAAUCUGACAAGAAUUUUGUGGCCAACACCGAAGUUAACCCUAAGGAGGAAUGUAAUGCCAUUAUGAUUAGAAGUGGCAAGAUGGUUGUGGAGAGAGGUGGAGAGAAAAGAUAAGAGAUUUGAUGAGGAGGAACAAACUCAUGGAGAAAAGGUUGAGGUUGAGAAGAUGAGAGGGAAAGAAGAGAGAAAAGGGAGUGAAAAUGAUGAGGGAGAAGACAGGAAAAAAAAAACAAAAAGGGAAGAGAAAGAUUGAAGCUCAUGAGAAGCCCCUUCUUUACCCUAAAGUCCACUCAAGGAAGGAGAAAGAGAAGCAAUUUGGAUGCUUCAUGGAUAUUUCGUACAAAAGAGGAAGAUGAAAAAAACACCACACAAAAUGUCUCCUUGAUUCACAAAUAGGACAUCCUGCCUCAGUUUUUUUGUUAUAAGGACUUUUUUGACGUUAUCUUUAGCAUUGAUAUGUUAUGCAUAUCAGUAUUAUAACUUAGGUUGGUGUGUAAGUAAAUUUUUACUUUUAUGAAGUUUGAAAAUAUUUAAUAAGUUAUUUUAACAUUAUUCAUUUUCAAUGUUUAAGAUAUUUACAUCAUAUAUUCUUUGAGAGGAAGAAUGAUCAUAUAUAUGGAUUUAUUGAUCCUGUUGUCAUCCAAGGAGUUGGGAAUAAAGGUGAAGAGAUGUAAAAGUACCCAUUAAAGGCCUUUGAAAAGGGAAAAUAAUAAGUCUACAUAACACCUUAUUUGCAAUUGUAAGUAGGAAUUUUUAUAAAUUAAAUUAUAUUUA